AGAGUUUGAUCCUGGCUCAGAACGAACGCUGGCGGCAGGCCUAACACAUGCAAGUCGAACGAGAAGCCACCUUCGGGUGGUGGACAGUGGCAGACGGGUGAGUAACGCGUGGGAACGUGCCUUUCGGUUCGGAAUAACCCAGGGAAACUUGGGCUAAUACCGGAUACGCCCUUCGGGGGAAAGAUUCAUUGCCGAAAGAUCGGCCCGCGUCGGAUUAGCUAGUUGGUGGGGUAAUGGCUCACCAAGGCGACGAUCCGUAGCUGGUCUGAGAGGAUGACCAGCCACACUGGGACUGAGACACGGCCCAGACUCCUACGGGAGGCAGCAGUGGGGAAUAUUGGACAAUGGGCGAAAGCCUGAUCCAGCCAUGCCGCGUGGGUGAAGAAGGCCUUAGGGUUGUAAACCCCUUUCAGCGGGGAAGAUAAUGACGGUACCUGCAGAAGAAGUCCCGGCUAACUCCGUGCCAGCAGCCGCGGUA
rnacentral:rRNA from 1 species